rnacentral:rRNA from 1 species
AUACGGAAGGUGCAAGCGUUGUUCGGAAUGACUGGGCGUAAAGCGCGCGUAGGCGGGUUUAUAAGUCGAUUGUGAAAGCCCCGGGCUCAACCUGGGAAUUGCAGUCGAAACUGUAGAUCUUGAAUGCCUGAGAGGUUGGCGGAAUUCCAGGUGUAGGAGUGAAAUCCGUAGAUAUCUGGAGGAACAUCAGAGGCGAAGGCGGCUAACUGGCAGUGCAUUGACGCUGAGGCGCGAAAGCGUGGGGAGCAAACAGGAUUAGAUACCCUGGUAGUCCACGCUGUAAACGAUGGAUACUAAGUGUUUGGGAAGUUAAUCUCCUGAGUGCUACAGCUAACGCAUUAAGUAUCCCGCCUGGGGAGUACGGUCGCAAGGCUAAA